rnacentral:rRNA from 1 species
GUAGGGGGCGAGCGUUGUCCGGAAUGACUGGGCGUAAAGGGAGUGUAGGCGGCCUUUUAAGUUAUGUGUGAAAGCCCGCGGCUCAACUGUGGAAUUGCACAUAAAACUGGGAGGCUGGAGUGCAGGAGAGGUAAGCGGAAUUUCCAGUGUAGCGGUGGAAUGCGUAGAUAUUGGGAAGAACACCGGAGGCGAAGGCGGCUUACUGGACUGUAACUGACGCUGAGGCUCGAAAGCGUGGGGAGCAAA